GUCGCACGGACACCUUCGAGUGUCAGUGGCGGACGGGUGAGUAACACUUGGGUAACCUGCCUCACAGCCUGGGAUAACGCCUGGAAACGGGUGCUAAUCCCGGAUAGAUUCUUAGACCGCAUGGUUUGAGGAGGAAAGCUGCCGCAAUGCAGCACUGAGAGAUGGGCCCGCGGCGCAUUAGCUAGUUGGUGAGGUAACGGCCCACCAAGGCGACGAUGCGUAGCCGACCUGAGAGGGUGACCGGCCACACUGGGACUGAGACACGGCCCAGACUCCUACGGGAGGCAGCAGUAGGGAAUCUUCCGCAAUGGGCGCAAGCCUGACGGAGCAACGCCGCGUGAGUGAAGACGGUCUUCGGAUUGUAAAGCUCUGUUGCCAGAGACGAGCGAAUGGGAGAGGGAAUGCUCCCAUUGAGACGGUAUCUGGUCAGAAAGCCCCGGCUAACUACGUGCCAGCAGCCGCGGUAAUACGUAGGGGGCAAGCGUUGUCCGGAAUGACUGGGCGUAAAGCGCGCGCAGGCGGUCUAUCACGUCUGGGGUGAAAGUUCAGGGCUCAACCCUGAGACGGCCUUGGAAACGG
rnacentral:rRNA from 1 species